GAUGAACGCUGGCGGCGUGCCUAAUACAUGCAAGUCGAGCGAACAGACGAGGAGCUUGCUCCUCUGACGCUAGCGGCGGACGGGUGAGUAACACGUGGAUAACCUACCUAUAAGGCUGGGAUAACUUCGGGAAACCGGAGCUAAUACCGGAUAAUAUAUUGAACCGCAUGGUUCAAUAGUGAAAGACGGUUUUGCUGUCACUUAUAGAUGGAUCCGCGCCGCAUUAGCUAGUUGGUAAGGUAACGGCUUACCAAGGCAACGAUGCGUAGCCGACCUGAGAGGGUGAUCGGCCACACUGGAACUGAGACACGGUCCAGACUCCUACGGGAGGCAGCAGUAGGGAAUCUUCCGCAAUGGGCGAAAGCCUGACGGAGCAACGCCGCGUGAGUGAUGAAGGUCUUCGGAUCGUAAAACUCUGUUAUUAGGGAAGAACAAAUGUGUAAGUAACUAUGCACGUCUUGACGGUACCUAAUCAGAAAGCCACGGCUAACUACGUG
rnacentral:rRNA from 1 species